AGUACAAGGCAAAUUGCAUCAGAUUCUCACUAUCUGGAGCACUAAACCAGUCCACUGUCUGGCAACAGACGCCCUUCACCUCUGAAGACUACAAGGUAACAAGAAGAGAUUCUCCCAGAAAAAGUGUUUAAGUGGUAACUGGGUAUCUUGUUAGCAGAACAGCAAUGAAUAACUCAACGUACAUAAACUCUUCCACUGAAAAUGUGAUGGCUUUGGAAAGCCCCUAUAAAACUGUUGAGGUGGUCUUCAUCGUCCUGGUAGCAGGGUCUCUCAGUCUAGUCACCAUAAUUGGGAACAUCCUGGUCAUGGUGUCGAUCAAAGUCAACAGGCACCUCCAGACUGUAAACAACUAUUUCCUGUUCAGCUUGGCCUGCGCUGACUUGAUCAUCGGCAUCUUUUCAAUGAACCUGUACACCCUCUACACUGUGAUAGGCUACUGGCCCUUGGGGCCUGUGGUGUGUGACCUCUGGUUGGCUCUCGACUAUGUGGCCAGCAAUGCCUCUGUAAUGAACCUCCUCAUUAUCAGCUUUGACAGAUACUUUUGUGUCACCAAGCCUCUGACAUACCCUGUGAAGCGGACCACUAAGAUGGCAGGCAUGAUGAUUGCAGCUGCCUGGGUUCUGUCCUUCAUCCUCUGGGCCCCUGCAAUUCUCUUCUGGCAAUUCAUUGUGGGAGGAAGGACUGUCCCAGAUGGGGACUGCUAUAUCCAGUUUUUUUCCAACCCUGCUGUCACUUUUGGCACUGCCAUUGCAGCCUUCUAUUUGCCUGUUAUCAUCAUGACUGUCCUUUACUGGCAAAUCUCUCGAGCCAGUAAGAGCAGGAUAAAGAAGGCGAAAAAGGAAGCUGCACAAAACCAAGAUACAGUUUCCCCCAGCCUUGUCCAAGGUAAAAUAGUGAAACCAAACAAUAACAACAUCCCAACCAGUGGAGAUGGGUUGGAGCACAGCAAAAUUCAAAAUGGAAAACCCAGUGAGGAGACUGUGACUGAUAACUGUGUUCAAGCAGAGAAGGAGAGCUCCAACGACUCCACCUCUGUCAGUGUGGUAGCUUCCAACUUGAAAGAGGAUGAAGCUACCAAAGAUGCCAAACAGGCUUCUACCUCCCAAGACCACCUCAAAGUGGAGAACUCCAAGCUGACAUGCAUCAAGAUAGUCACAAAGUCCCCAAAGGGAGACUGCUGCGCCCCUACCAACACCACCGUGGAGAUCGUAGGUACAAACGGGGAGGAGAAGCAGAAUAGUGUAGCCCGGAAAAUAGUCAAGAUGACAAAGCAGCCAGCCAAAAAGAAACCACCCCCCUCUAGAGAGAAAAAAGUGACAAGGACUAUUUUAGCCAUCCUCCUGGCCUUCAUCAUCACCUGGACCCCAUACAAUGUGAUGGUGCUCAUCAACAGCUUCUGCACAUCCUGCAUCCCUAACACCGUAUGGACCAUAGGCUACUGGCUCUGUUAUAUCAACAGCACCAUCAAUCCUGCUUGUUAUGCGCUCUGCAAUGCUACCUUCAAGAAGACCUUUAAGCACCUUCUUAUGUGUCAUUACAAGAAUAUAGGAGCUACGAGGUAAAAAUAAGAAUAAAAAUAAUUAUGGAAAGGGUGAAGAAGUUCCAAAUUAAAUUAAAACCCCGCGAUGUUGCAGCACUUUAUGCUCUUCUAUGGAAUGUGCAAUCCAGGAUGCUAGUGGAAAUCCUGACACGGGGCAUCAGCUCUACCCCUGAGAACUACAGUUAAAAACAUUUUUUUAAUAAUUGAAAACAAAUCUUUAGGACAUGGGUAUGUUUGAGAAAUUGUUCAAGGAUGUGGACUGGAGGCACAGUUCCUUACUUUCUGAGAGUAUUCUGCAGAAGGGCUUUAGAGUCUACAAUUUUUGGUCAUUCUGUGUGAAAUACUUGUUCUUAUUUUUCCUUUCUUUUUUUUUCUUUUCCCCUGUAUCUGUUUAACACAUUUUCAUCUAGGGAAAAAAAAAAAAAAAAAAAAUUUUAAUAAUAACUGUGUGGAAGAGGCAUAGGAGUAUAGAAGAUCAUUGCAUAAUCCAAAUGCAUCAUGGCAGAAAUUUUCUAAAGUUCAAAGUUGUCUAACAGUUUUUUGCCGCUGUCAUGUGAGAAGCUUGAUGUUGGGUACAUCGCGAUGAAAGUUAUGUUGUUUAUGACACCACCAUUUCCAAAACUGCAUCAAUUCUGCAAGUGUACUUAUGCUCAACACGUAAUCAUUGCCUAACUUGUAUAUCAUUCGAAGUCUGCAGCUUGUCCCAUUCUACAGGCUUUUGUUCUGUGACUACUUCAUCAUGUCAGGAUGAAAGUGAAAAGAUGUGGUCUCGUCCAGAUUGCUACAUCCCAAGACUACUUCAGCAUCCAUGUAAACCAAAGCUUUUGAGACAAUUUUGUUCACUUUGUUUGUCACAUAAUAUCAACGUGUGGAUUUGUCUUUUACCUCCAUCAGCCUUUUCUUCCUGUUUGUACUUUACUUGUCCAGGGCACAAAGACUGAAUAUCAAAAGUUGUAAAUUCAAAGGUCUCAUACAAUCAGCCACCAUGGCGGUCAGACAAAGGGUCUCAGCUGAAGAAUAGAAAUGAGGUUAUUACUAGGAAAAUGGAGCUUACAUCCUUUUAAAGUUGGAUGUACCAAUUAAGAGGUUUCACUUCCCUUCUGAGCGAUAGUUCUGCGAGAUCUAGAUGUCGGUCUUGAAGAGCAGCUCUCCCUGGGUAACUUCUCCAGCUCCCCUGGUUGUCGCCUGCACACCAUUGGCCCCGAGGCCCCAGGUGCCCUUCUACAGGAACUGCUGCAUCUUCACCUUGGAUUUGGCCAGAACAUUCCACUGGCACAUCCACAUCAUGUGUUGCACUGUCGACUUUUGUUUCACAUAGAAAUGGAGCAAACUGUGCACUUGAUUCAAGAGAAAAAAAAACAACAAACAAACAAAA